GUUUGAUCCUGGCUCAGGAUGAACGCUGGCGGCGUGCCUAACACAUGCAAGUCGAACGAAGUUACACAGAGGAAGUUUUCGGAUGGAAUCAGUAUAACUUAGUGGCGGACGGGUGAGUAACGCGUGGGAAACCUGCCCUGUACCGGGGGAUAACACUUAGAAAUAGGUGCUAAUACCGCAUAAGCGCACGGAACCGCAUGGUUCCGUGUGAAAAACUCCGGUGGUACAGGAUGGUCCCGCGUCUGAUUAGCCAGUUGGCAGGGUAACGGCCUACCAAAGCGACGAUCAGUAGCCGGCCUGAGAGGGUGAACGGCCACAUUGGGACUGAGACACGGCCCAAACUCCUACGGGAGGCAGCAGUGGGGAAUAUUGCACAAUGGGGGAAACCCUGAUGCAGCGACGCCGCGUGAGUGAAGAAGUAUUUCGGUAUGUAAAGCUCUAUCAGCAGGGAAGAAAAUGACGGUACCUGACUAAGAAGCCCCGGCUAACUACGUGCCAGCAGCCGCGGUAAUACGUAGGGGGCAAGCGUUAUCCGGAUUUACUGGGUGUAAAGGGAGCGUAGACGGCAUGGCAAGCCAGAUGUGAAAACCCAGGGCUCAACCUUGGGAUUGCAUUUGGAACUGCCAGGC
rnacentral:rRNA from 1 species